GACGAACGCUGGCGGCGUGCUUAACACAUGCAAGUCGAGCGGUAAGGCCCUUUCGGGGGUACGACGAGCGGCGAACGGGUGAGUAACACGUGGGUGACCUGCCCUCAGCUCUGGGAUAAGCCUGGGAAACCGGGUCUAAUACCGGAUAUGACUCCAUGACGCAUGUUGUGGGGUGGAAAGCCUUGUGCGGCUGAGGAUGGGCCCGCGGCCUAUCAGCUUGUUGGGUGGGGUGAGGCCUACCAAGGCGACGACGGGUAGCCGGCCUGAGAGGGCGACCGGCCACACUGGGACUGAGACACGGCCCAGACUCCUACGGGAGGCAGCAGUGGGGGAAUCUUGCGGCAAUGGGCGAAAGCCUGACGCAGCGACGCCGCGUGAGUGAUG
rnacentral:rRNA from 1 species